GGGGGGGGCAAGCGUUUGUUCGGAAUUACUGGGCGUAAAGGGCGCGCAGGCGGCCCGGCCAGUCCCUUGUGAAAUCCCACAGCUCAACUGUGGAACUGCAGGGGAUACUGCCAGGCUUGAGUCCGGGAGAGGGGAGUGGAAUUCCCAGUGUAGCGGUGAAAUGCGUAGAUAUUGGGAGGAACACCGGUGGCGAAGGCGGCUCCCUGGACCGGUACUGACGCUGAGGCGCGAAAGCUAGGGGAGCAAACGGGAUUAGAUACCCCGGGUAGUCCUAGCUGUAAACGUUGAGCACUUGGUGUGGCGGGUAUCGACCCCCCUGCUGUGCCGAAGCUAACGCAUUAAGUGCUCCGCCUGGGGAGUACGGUCGCAAGGCUG
rnacentral:rRNA from 1 species